rnacentral:rRNA from 1 species
ACUCUAAAGAACUGCCUACGCAAGUAGUGAGGAAGCGGGGAUGACGUCAAAUCAGCACGGCCCUUACGUCCAGGGCUACACACGUGCUACAAUGGCCGAUACAGAGGGGCAGCUACCUGGUGACAGGAUGCAAAUCUCCAAAGUCGGUCUCAGUUCGGAUCGGAGUCUGCAACCCGACUCCGUGAAGUUGGAUUCGCUAGUAAUCGCGCAUCAGCCAUGGCGCGGUGAAUACGUUCCCGGGCCUU